CAGUAGCCGCGGGAAUACGGAGGGAGCUAGCGUUGUUCGGAAUUACUGGGCGUAAAGCGCACGUAGGCAGCGAUUUAAGUCAGGGGUGAAAGCCCAGUGCUCAACACUGGAACUGCCCUUGAGACUGGAUUGCUAGAAUCUUGGAGAGGCGAGUGGAAUUCCGAGUGUAGAGGUGAAAUUCGUAGAUAUUCGGAAGAACACCAGUGGCGAAGGCGGCUCGCUGGACAAGUAUUGACGCUGAGGUGCGAAAGCGUGGGGAGCAAACAGGAUUAGAUACCCCUGUAGUCCCUGUCUCUUAUAA
rnacentral:rRNA from 1 species